GAUGAACGCUGGCGGCGUGCCUAACACAUGCAAGUCGAACGGAGUCGCUUUGGAAAUCUCUUCGGAGAUGGAAUUCUCGACUUAGUGGCGGACGGGUGAGUAACGCGUGAGCAAUCUGCCUUUAAGGGGGGGAUAACAGUCGGAAACGGCUGCUAAUACCGCAUAAAGCAUUUAAUUCGCAUGUUUUUGAUGUCAAAGGAGCAAUCCGCUUUUAGAUGAGCUCGCGUCUGAUUAGCUAGUUGGCGGGGUAACGGCCCACCAAGGCGACGAGCAGUAGCCGGACGGAGAGGAGGAACGGCCAUAUUGGGACUGAGACACGGCCGAGACUCCUACGGGAGGCAGCAGGGGGGAAUAUUGCGCAAUGGGGGAAACCCUGACGAAGCAACGCCGCGUGAUUGAAGAAGGCCUUCGGGUUGUAAAGAUCUUUAAUCAGGGACGAAACAAAUGACGGUACCUGAAGAAUAAGCUCCGGCUAACUACGUG
rnacentral:rRNA from 1 species